rnacentral:rRNA from 1 species
UGCGUAGGCGGCUUUGCAAGUCAGGUGUGAAAUCUAUGGGCUUAACCCAUAGACUGCACUUGAAACUGUGGAGCUUGAGUGAAGUAGAGGCAGGCGGAAUUCCCGGUGUAGCGGUGAAAUGCGUAGAGAUCGGGAGGAACACCAGUGGCGAAGGCGGCCUGCUGGGCUUUAACUGACGCUGAGGCACGAAAGCAUGGGUAGCAAACA